rnacentral:rRNA from 1 species
UACGUAGGGUGCAAGCGUUAUCCGGAAUUAUUUGGGCGUAAAGAGCUCGUAGGCGGUUUGUCGCGUCUGCUGUGAAAACCGGAGGCUCAACCUCCGGCCUGCAGUGGGUACGGGCAAACUAGAGUGCGGUAGGGGAGAUUGGAAUUCCUGGUGUAGCGGUGGAAUGCGCAGAUAUCAGGAAGAACACCGGUGGCGAAGGCGGCUCUCUGGGCCUUACCUGACGCUGAGGAGCGAGAGCGUGGGUAGCGAACAG